UCUAGUCUGUAGUCUUUGUAAAGUCAUUUCGUUAGACGUUUUUUGUCUCUUGCAUUUCAACCAUUUGACUAGAAGGUUUUAUGUAUGACUAGAGCAAGGUGACUAGAGAGAGAGACAUAUGACUAGAACUGAUUGUACUGCUGUUUUACCCACUGACAUUUGACCUAUUGUCAAACCUCCUGCGUUUUACACCUAAGACUGGUGAGCCGAGCUCAGUCCAGGAUUGGUGAUUUCAUGUAUGUAAGUUUAUUCGCAUGAGUUCGACAGAACUAAGAGAGAAAGAAUACAGUCCACUCUCCAUCGAACUAUCAAUUGUCGAAGUACAUUCGCAUAUAUUGUCGAUAUAGUCUUACACUUCGUCGAAGUACAUUCGCAUUUUUAUCGAAGUACAUUCGCAUAUGUUGUCGAAAUAGUUUCGCAUAUUUGUCUGGGUAGUGUCGCUACCUGUGGAAAGUAAGUCAAAUCGAUGUCGAUGUAAAUUUUUUCCGGCUGAAACUAACCAUACUCCAACAAUAUGUAUGAACUGGUUCUAUGAUCCAUAACAGUGUAUCUCUUUCUUAUAACCAUAUUCUUUCCAGAAAGCAAUAGUCCUGUACGUUUCUCUCCAUUAGUGCUCCUGGUCUCAAGUUUUUAUUUUUAUUAAGGGAUUGCAACUGUGAUUUAUUGCCCGCUAGUUCUUUGGAACUUAAAUAGAACAUUUUGUUCGUGAUUUUGGAUUCAAAUAAAAGGUUGAUGUGGUGUA